rnacentral:rRNA from 1 species
UGGAAGUAAAAGUCGUAACAAGGUCUCCGUUGGUGAACCAGCGGAGGGAUCAUUACCGAGUUUACAACUCCCAAACCCAAUGUGAACGUUACCAAACUGUUGCCUCGGCGGGAUCUCUGCCCCGGGUGCGUCGCAGCCCCGGACCAAGGCGCCCGCCGGAGGACCAACCUAAAACUCUUAUUGUAUACCCCCUCGCGGGUUUUUUUUAUAAUCUGAGCCUUUCUCGGCGCCUCUCGUAGGCGUUUCGAAAAUGAAUCAAAACUUUCAACAACGGAUCUCUUGGUUCUGGCAUCGAUGAAGAACGCAGCGAAAUGCGAUAAGUAAUGUGAAUUGCAGAAUUCAGUGAAUCAUCGAAUCUUUGAACGCACAUUGCGCCCGCCAGUAUUCUGGCGGGCAUGCCUGUCCGAGCGUCAUUUCAACCCUCGAACCCCUCCGGGGGGUCGGCGUUGGGGAUCGGCCCUCCCUUAGCGGGUGGCCGUCUCCGAAAUACAGUGGCGGUCUCGCCGCAGCCUCUCCUGCGCAGUAGUUUGCACACUCGCAUCGGGAGCGCGGCGCGUCCACAGCCGUUAAACACCCAACUUCUGAAAUGUUGACCUCGGAUCAGGUAGGAAUACCCGCUGAACUUAAGCAUAUCAAUAAGCGGAGGA